GGAUUGCCUCAGUAACGGCGAGUGAAGCGGCAACAGCUCAAAUUUGAAAUCUGGCCCUCUCAGGGUCCGAGUUGUAAUUUGGAGAAGAUGCUUCGGGUGUGGCCCCGGUCUAAGUUCCUUGGAACAGGACGUCACAGAGGGUGAGAAUCCCGUACGUGACCGGUGGCCGCCCCCGUGUGAAGCUCUUUCGACGAGUCGAGUUGUUUGGGAAUGCAGCUCAAAAUGGGUGGUAAAUUUCAUCUAAAGCUAAAUAUUGGCCAGAGACCGAUAGCGCACAAGUAGAGUGAUCGAAAGAUGAAAAGCACUUUGGAAAGAGAGUUAAACAGUACGUGAAAUUGUUGAAAGGGAAGCGCUUGCAACCAGACUUGCGCGCGGCCGAUCAUCCGGUGUUCGCACCGGUGCACUCGGUCGCGCUCAGGCCAGCAUCGGUUUGGGUGGCUGGAUAAAGGCCUCGGGAAUGUGGCUCCCCUCGGGGAGUGUUAUAGCCCGAGGUGCAAUGCAGCCUACCCGGACCGAGGACCGCGCUUCGGCUAGGAUGCUGGCGUAAUGGUUGUAAGCGACCCGUCUUGAAACACGGACCAAGGAGUCUAACAUCUAUGCGAGUGUUUGGGUGUCAAACCCAUACGCGUAAUGAAAGUGAACGGAGGUGAGAACCCUUAAGGGUGCAUCAUCGACCGAUCCUGAUGUCUUCGGAUGGAUUUGAGUAAGAGCAUAGCUGUUGGGACCCGAAAGAUGGUGAACUAUGCCUGAAUAGGGUGAAGCCAGAGGAAACUCUGGUGGAGGCUCGCAGCGGUUCUGACGUGCAAAU
rnacentral:rRNA from 1 species